GAGGUUAAGCGACUAAGCGUACACGGUGGAUGCCCUGGCAGUCAGAGGCGAUGAAGGGCGUACUAAUCUGCGAUAAGCGCCGGUAAGGUGAUAUGAACCGUUAUAACCGGCGAUACCCGAAUGGGGAAACCCAGUGUGAUUCGUCACACUAUCAUUAACUGAAUCCAUAGGUUAAUGAGGCGAACCGGGGGAACUGAAACAUCUAAGUACCCCGAGGAAAAGAAAUCAACCGAGAUUCCCCCAGUAGCGGCGAGCGAACGGGGAGGAGCCCAGAGCCUGAAUCAGCAUGUGUGUUAGUGGAAGCGUCUGGAAAGGCGCGCGAUACAGGGUGACAGCCCCGUACACAAAAGCGCAUGUGCUGUGAGCUCGAUGAGUAGGGCGGGACACGUGGUAUCCUGUCUGAAUAUGGGGGGACCAUCCUCCAAGGCUAAAUACUCCUGACUGACCGAUAGUGAACCAGUACCGUGAGGGAAAGGCGAAAAGAACCCCGGCGAGGGGAGUGAAAAAGAACCUGAAACCGUGUACGUACAAGCAGUGGGAGCACCCUUUGGGUGUGACUGCGUACCUUUUGUAUAAUGGGUCAGCGACUUAUAUUCUGUAGCAAGGUUAACC
rnacentral:rRNA from 1 species